rnacentral:rRNA from 1 species
UACGUAGGCAGCAAGCGUUGUUCGGAGUUACUGGGCGUAAAGGGUGCGUAGGUGGCGCCGUAAGUCGGGUGUGAAAUUUCGGAGCUUAACUCCGAAACUGCAUUCGAUACUGCGGUGCUUGAGGACUGGAGAGGAGACUGGAAUUCAUGGUGUAGCAGUGAAAUGCGUAGAGAUCAUGAGGAAGACCAGUGGCGAAGGCGGGUCUCUGGACAGUUCCUGACACUGAGGCACGAAGGCCAGGGGAGCAAACGGG